rnacentral:rRNA from 1 species
AACUUGACCUCAAAUCGAGUAGGACUA